GACGAACGCUGGCGGCGUGCUUAACACAUGCAAGUCGAACGAAGUGGCGAACGGGUGAGUAACGCGUAAUCAACCUGCCCUUCUGAGGGGGACAACAGUAGGAAACGACUGCUAAUACCGCAUACUGAUGAGGGGGCUUGCGUUGAAUUAGCUAGUUGGGGGGUUAACGGCCCACCAAGGCGAUGAUCAGUAGCCGGUCUGAGAGGAUGAACGGCCACACUGGGACUGAGACACGGCCCAGACUCCUACGGGAGGCAGCAGUGGGGAAUCUUCCGCAAUGGACGAAAGUCUGACGGAGCAACGCCGCGUGAGUGAUGACGGCCUUCGGGUUGUAAAGCUCUGUUAAUCGGGACGCGGUACCGGAAUAGAAAGCCACGGCUAACUACGUGCCAGCAGCCGCGGUAAUUC
rnacentral:rRNA from 1 species